GAUCCUGGGCUCAGGAUGAACGCUAGCUACAGGCUUAACACAUGCAAGUCGAGGGGCAGCAUGGUCUUAGCUUGCUAAGGCUGAUGGCGACCGGCGCACGGGUGAGUAACACGUAUCCAACCUGCCGUCUACUCUUGGCCAGCCUUCUGAAAGGAAGAUUAAUCCAGGAUGGGAUCAUGAGUUCACAUGUCCGCAUGAUUAAAGGUAUUUUCCGGUAGACGAUGGGGAUGCG
rnacentral:rRNA from 1 species